ensembl:snRNA U6 U6 spliceosomal RNA
GUGUUCGUUCUGGCAGCACAUAUGUUAAAACCGGAACGACAGAGAAAAGAUCAGCGUGGCCCAGCACACGAAGGGACGACAUGCAAGCCUGUACAGCGUCCCACAGUUUA